AGAAAUUGAAAGAAGCCAAAGCCAUGCAACCAACUGUAGCGACCUAUCUAAUCCUUCUUCGGUUGAAGACGAAACUACCGACAUUCUUCCCUAUGGUGAUCGAACCGAUAACCUAGGAAAAAACUCCACUGCCUAUUCAAAGGGCACCGAAAUGCUUUCCUCGGCUAUCUUAUCGACUGAUGCUUUUAACCUCAGUGACAAUGGUGAAGAAGGAACACCUGCGGGAACAGUUUCUGUGUUGGAUGAGGCAAAUGCUACAGGAAUGGUAGGUUUGAUCCCCAGUUCUGUUGCAUCAAAGCUCGAGAACAGGCAUGGACCAACUGCCCCAAAACUCAACACCGAUAAUCAGUUAAACGCCCUUGUUCGAUCUGGUAUGGAGCGCCAGCCAUUCGUUGGCUGUUCUUCAGAUGGCUUGCCUAUUACUCCCUGCAAGCUUGAAGUGCUAAAGGAUAGUCUUGGUAGAGGUGAGAGACCGAAAUCCGGCUGCAAGGAUCUCGACAAUAGGACUCGAAAAGGAGGGGAACCCCAAGACGGCGGCACGUCAAAGAUGCGAACUGGGGAAAGACAGGACGACAAAUGUGCUGAAAAUGGUGUUUCAGAUCGGGAUUUCGAGCAUUAUGUGAAGGUCAUUAGAUGGUUAGAAUGCGAGGGUCAUAUUGAAAAAAAUUUCAGGCAGAAAUUUCUUACUUGGUACAGCUUGAGAGCAUCCCAACAAGAAGUGAAGAUUGUUAGGGUGUUUGUUGAUACCUUUAUUGAAGAUCCAGCAUCUCUUGCAGAACAACUUGUA
rnacentral:misc_RNA from 1 species